GACGAACGCUGGCGGCGUGCUUAACACAUGCAAGUCGAACGGAAAGGCCCUGCUUUUGUGGGGUGCUCGAGUGGCGAACGGGUGAGUAACACGUGUGUAACCUGCCCUCGACUUUGGGAUAACUUCAGGAAACUGGGGCUACUACCGGAUCGGAGCUUCUGAUGCAUGGUGGGGGUUGGAUAGUUUCGGCGGUUGGGGAUGGACUCGCGGCUUAUCAGCUUGUUGGUGGGGUAGUGGCUUACCAAGGCUUUGACGGGUAGCCGGCCUGAGAGGGUGACCGGCCACAUGGGGACUGAGAUACGGCCCAGACGCCUACGGGAGGCAGCAGUGGGGAAUAUUGCACAAUGGGCGGAAGCCUAAUGCAGCAACGCCGCGGGCGGGAUGACGGCCUUCGGGGUGUAAACCGCGUUCACCUGUGACGAAGCGUGAGUGACGGUAAUGGGUAAAGAAGCACCGGCUAACUACGUG
rnacentral:rRNA from 1 species